rnacentral:lncRNA from 1 species
CUCAUUUUAGGUCGCAGCUUACCUUCGGCAUCCAUAGACCUGUCAAUUAGCCCUCUCCCUGUAUUCUGAUUCAUUUCCAGCAGCAGACGUGCCAAAGACUGGCAGGAACUCAGGGAAAUAUAUCCUGAGCACAGAGACUCACUGCUACCUCUAGGUCGAGAUGAGAUUUCUGUCGUGCAUUAAGCUAAUUUGGAUUGUGAAUGAAUACAAGUCCAGGAAGUCGAUUCUGAGACCCGAUACCCUGCGAGGGGAGUGCAGGAUAAGCAGGAGACAUUAAUUAGCGCUGCCUUAAGCAGUUUUACCGACGCAGGCGGGACUGUGGUGGAGCACUGGAGAUGCUGCGAGCCCUGAGCUGCCUUCACAGCCUUGUUGGGUGUGCUGCUGGAUCACACUGCAUGAGAAAUGGAAGCAACCUAUCUGUAAAGAGCCUGCAAACCUCAGGACGCUCUGGAAGCCAGUGGAAUAAUUACAGUGGGAUGAGGCUGCAAGUCCCCUUGCUUCCUGAGCUGCAUUCAUGGCUGUGUGAAGGGGAGAAAGGAAUACAUUUGAGGUCUUUUCAUGGAAGACACAGAUAUUUUAAUGUUGCGAUACCAUCCAACAGGGUGAGCUGAGAGAACCAACACUAAGAGUUUCACAGAUAGAACACCACUAUUCCCUGUGUAAAACAGGAGGUAGGCAGGCGUAGGCCUCCCCUGGAAAACAAUGUUUUAAGAGCUCAUAAAUACCUAGACGUCAAAUCAUCCUCGUUUCUAGUGUUUGUAUAGAUAUUUCCAAUAAUAUAUUUAGUGGGCUCACUUUUUUAUUUUGUGCAUUUAUCCUGGUUUAUUGUUUAUUUUUCCUGAAUUAUUGGCCAAUGAAUAUUUAUAUUAGAACAGAAAAAAAUAUAUUCUAAAAUUAAUGUCAUAAAAAUAAGUUA